GUGUGUGUGUGUGUGUGUGUGUGUGUGUGUGUAGGUUAGUGUUGCUUCAGAGGUUUGAGAGCAGCGUCAAUGAUCAGCUGAACCGACUGCGUGAGAACUCCAGCAGCCUGAACGCCAUCAACACACAGAUGCUGAGUUUUUUUCAGAGUGAGAUGCAGCGUCUGGGCUCCUUCUGUGAUGAUCGGCUGCAGAGUUUGAAGUCUUUGGAGAGUGGAGAGCCGGGGGUGGAGCGUUCGUCCAGCCAAUGAAGGAAGAGAAGAGCCAAUCAGGACCAGGACAAUGUUUUAGUUGAACCUUCACCAAACUCCAUUCAGAUUUCGGCACAUUUUGUGUUUUUGUUACAGAUACAUUUCUGGUCUGAAGACAGAAAUAAAACCAAAAUCAGC